rnacentral:rRNA from 1 species
AUAGGAGGUCCAGCCUGCCCAGUGACUACGGGUUCAACGGCCGCGGUAUUUUGACCGUGCAAAGGUAGCGCAAUCACUUGUCUCUUAAAUAGAGACCUGUAUGAAUGGCUAGACGAGGGCUUAACUGUCUCCCCCUUCCAGUCAGUGAAAUUGAUCUAUCCGUGCAGAAGCGGGUAUAAUUAUACAAGACGAGAAGACCCUUUGGAGCUUAAGGUACAAAGUUCAACCACGUUAAACGACUCCACAGAAAGCAAGAACUUAGUGGCAAAUGAAACUUUACCUUCGGUUGGGGCGACCACGGAGGAAAAGAAAGCCUCCGAGUGGACUGGGCUAAAUCCCCAAAGCCAAGAGAUACAUCUAUAAGCCGCAGAACAUCUGACCAAGAAUGAUCCGACUGAAAAGCCGAUCAACGAACCAAGUUACCCUAGGGAUAACAGCGCAAUCCUCUCCCAGAGUCCAUAUCGACGAGGGGGUUUACGACCUCGAUGUUGGAUCAGGACAUCCUAAUGGUGCAGCCGCUAUUAAGGGUUCGUUUGUUCAACGAUUAAAGUCC